GACGAACGCUGGCGGCGUGCUUAACACAUGCAAGUCGAACGGAAAGGCCCUGCUUUUGUGGGGUGCUCGAGUGGCGAACGGGUGAGUAACACGUGAGUAACCUGCCCUUGACUUUGGGAUAACUUCAGGAAACUGGGGCUAAUACCGGAUAGGAGCUCCUGCUGCAUGGUGGGGGUUGGAAAGUUUCGGCGGUUGGGGAUGGACUCGCGGCUUAUCAGCUUGUUGGUGGGGUAGUGGCUUACCAAGGCUUUGACGGGUAGCCGGCCUGAGAGGGUGACCGGCCACACUGGGACUGAGAUACGGCCCAGACUCCUACGGGAGGCAGCAGUGGGGAAUAUUGCACAAUGGGCGGAAGCCUGAUGCAGCGACGCCGCGUGAGGGAUGACGGCCUUCGGGUUGUAAACCGCUUUCGGCUGUGACGAAGCGAGAGUGACGGUAAUGGGAGAAGAAGCACCGGCUAACUACGUG
rnacentral:rRNA from 1 species